GUUGGCGGUGCUCUCCGUGGGACAGGGACGGGACAGCGAGGGGUGGCAUGAGCUGGGCGGCACCUUAGGGGGGACAGUCCGCGGGGCCGAGCGCCGGGGUUCCCGGGCUGCCCCCGCCACCGCCCUCCCCACCGGCUGACAUUUGCCAUGCGCAGACAACACGCACUUCACCAAACAAUUCAGCCCGAGUCUCGCUGCAAACUCGCUGGGUUAUUUUUCUCCUCGUUCUCCGCUUGUUUAUGGCUGACGCUAUCUCGCCUGCACCGCUCCCUCGGUUUCAUUAUCUCUCCUCGCAGAUGGCCCGUGGCUUUCCUUCUUCACAGGGCUUCUCUCUGCUGGUGCUAUAGCUCCCUCUUCUCUCCCCAGCUCUGCAUCCCUCACCCUUGCUCACAGGUGAGCCUUCCCCAGCAAAGCACUUCUCUGCAGCUGUCCUUCCUCCUGCAGUCCCUUUUCCUCUGAAGGCCCCAGCAUCCCGUAAAAUAAAGCCAAUGGUGCCAAUGUGAUAAUAGUGGCACUGUGGCCAGCGGGACCAGGGCAGUGACCAUCCCCAGUGCUGGAGCACCUGCAAUCCCAGGGAUGAUGAAUUUUUUAAUCGGCAGGAUUAAAGAAGUGCAACAGUUUCCAAGGAUUCAAAGGCAUGGUGGGAAAAGAAGAAAAGUUUUUUACCUCAUUGGCAGAGAAUUUAAGGAUGGAUGUAACAGCCAGCGUGUCCUCUAAGGCAGCACCUGAGUGGGCCAUGUCUGUGACAUCCUUUAAGGAAGAUGCUUCCUCUGGAUCACUUUCUUAGCCACCACAAUGAGCCAUCCUGGUAGAGCUGGGAGCCUCCAUGCAGGCUGGUUCCUGAGUCCUGGGUUCAUUCUGCACUUGGUUGUGCUGGUUCCCUGUGGAGAGCUCUGAUCACCCUUCCAAAAUACUCUGGGACUGUUUUCCUUUCUCAGAGACUGAGUUAGAGGAAAUACUUAACAGAGCAAUAACAGGGCAAAUGCAAAUCCUCCUUGCAGAGUUCUUUUAACUUCGAGCCACUAAAUACACAUUUAGUCUAUGGAACUGUAUUUACUUCCCCUCUCAGAGGAACAAGCCUUGUCAGCUGUAAUGAUGAGCUGUUGUUUGACGUUCAUAAUAUUGCACUUCACUGCUUAUCUGAUGGAGGCACGCAAAGUUAUUUAAGGGCUUCUGAAAUGUGACAGCCCACAUGAUGCUUUUUUAGACUUCCCAAACCGCCCUCACGAGGCAGGAGAAUAUGGCAUGGGAACGGCUGGCUGGAACAGCAGCGUGCCUUAAUGCCAGAGGGGUGCUGUAGCUGGGAAGGAGGAAUGGGCUUUGAAAGUUUGCAGCUUUUGUUGUGUGCUGUCAAAGGAAGAACUUGCAGCCUGAAGGAACAGGCAUCGUGGGUGCCAUGGGUGGGACUGUGGGGAUUAUUGAUCCUGCCUGGUAACAGCAUAAAGAUGGAGGCAAAUAUGUUAAAACCUGUUUGGACCAUCCACAGACAGAAGGGGGCUCAAGGGAGACUGCUCAGAUGCCCCAUUUCAUGCUAUCUUGCCUUAAUAAACAGAAAGAUCUCACUUUCUGACAAGCUUCUGUAUCUUCAUCCUUGCUGCAAUGCAGAGCAAUCAUUGUAAGUUUUGAAUCCUGGAAGCCUCCAGGUUAAAGAACUCAUUUAAGAAAACCAAAACUCAACAAGUCUUCUGGCUUCUUUUCACAGACUAACAGCAGAAGAUCACAAGGGUUACCUUUGACAUCUGUUCCAUAUGAACCCACGGAAGAUGAGUAAAUGGGUGGUGCAUUCUCACCUCCUUGCAGUGCCCAGGUUGGUUUUGUGUUCUCUAUUUUCAUCCUUCUGAAAUUGCUAUUCAAUUUAUUCAUAUCACUGAAGGGAUUUCAUAUCCCAGAUGAGAUGCACAGAUUAAAUAAGCAGGUAAGCAGUAGAAGAUCUUUUUACGUGACUCAAGAGAGAGGAUAAAUCCCAGUCCGGAUGAGUGGAAAUCUCUGACUCCCCUGUGACCAGGAUUUUACUUGCAGGCUUUAUGGUUGUCUCAUUGGAGUGGUCUUUUUGCCAAAAGCAAUGCAGAAUAUUCCACUUAGUUGACAAAAUGUCUGCCAUCAGGAGGUGGCUUCACUCAAAUAUACAUUUCUUUAAAAUGAAGACAAACUUGAAUUUAUUGCUCAUUUCAUUCAUAACCAGAAGUUCUCCUCACUUGCCAAACUGCUGAAUCAGCUUGGGUACCUCACCCUUGAGUCAGCACAGCCCAAAACAGAAACUUGCUCCAUUUCCGAAGAGGGGAAGUACCACUGCUGUCUGCAAAUACAGCCACAUCUGACAUGCUUUUAUAGCUACAAACACUCAGUGCAGGGACUUGCAUGGCACUCUGCUGCUAAAAAAAAAAAAAAAAAAAAGAAGUAAAAAGGCACUUUCUUA